rnacentral:piRNA from 1 species
UAGAUCAUGACAGAGCCUAUUGUAACCC